AUGGAGUUUGGACUGAGCUGCGUUUUCCUUCUUGCUGUAUUAAAAGGUGUCCAGUGUGAGGUGCAGCUGGUGGAGUCCGGGGGAGGCUUGGUGAAGCCUGGUGGGUCUCUGAGACUCACCUGUGUCGCCUCUGGAUUCACCUUUAGACACUACAGCAUGCACUGGGUCCGCCAGGCUCCAGGGAAGGGGCUGGAGUGGGUCUCAGCCAUUAGCGGGAGUGGUGGUAGCACAUCCUACGCAGACUCCGUGAAGGGCCGAUUCACCAUCUCCAGGGAAAACGCCAAGAACACACUGUAUCUGCAAACUGAAAAUGCGAGAGCUGAGGACACAGCCACGUAUUACUGUGCGAGAGACACAGUGAGGGGACGUCAGUGGGAGCCCAGACAAGAACCUACUGCAGGGACACACGGGACCAGCAGGGGGCGCUCAGGACCCACCAAGUUCAAGGCUGAUUCCCUUGGGCAGGAUGGAAAACACAAGGCAGGCCUGGAACUCAUGGAACAACAAUAUACCAAGUAA